AUUGAACGCUGGCGGCGUGCCUAACACAUGCAAGUCGAGCGGUAACAGGUGUAGCAAUACAUGCUGACGAGCGGCGGACGGGUGAGUAACGCUUGGGAAUCUGCCUGUUAGUGGGGGACAACCCGGGGAAACUCGGGCUAAUACCGCAUACGCACUACGGUGGAAAGCCGGGGACCGCAAGGCCUGGCGCUAACAGAUGAGCCCAAGUCGGAUUAGCUAGUUGGUAGGGUAACGGCCUACCAAGGCGACGAUCCGUAACUCGUCUGAGAGGACGACCAGUCACACCGGAACUGAGACACGGUCCGGACUCCUACGGGAGGCAGCAGUGGGGAAUAUUGGACGAUGGGCGAAAGCCUGAUCCAGCGACGCCGCGUGGGUGAAGAAGGCCUGCGGGUUGUAAAGCCC
rnacentral:rRNA from 1 species